rnacentral:rRNA from 1 species
GACGAACGCUGGCGGCAUGCCUAACACAUGCAAGUCGAGCGAGCAGAUCCCUUCGGGGUGAAGCUAGCGGCGGACGGGUGAGUAACACGUGGGCAACCUGCCUCAUAGAGGGGAAUAGCCUUCCGAAAGGAAGAUUAAUACCGCAUAAGAUUGUAGCUUCGCAUGAAGCAGCAAUUAAAGGAGCAAUCCGCUAUGAGAUGGGCCCGCGGCGCAUUAGCUAGUUGGUGAGGUAACGGCUCACCAAGGCGACGAUGCGUAGCCGACCUGAGAGGGUGAUCGGCCACAUUGGGACUGAGACACGGCCCAAACUCCUACGGGAGGCAGCAGUGGGGAAUAUUGCACAAUGGGGGAAACCCUGAUGCAGCAAUGCCGCGUGAGUGAUGACGGCCUUCGGGUUGUAAAGCUCUGUCUUUGGGGACGAUAAUGACGGUACCCGAGGAGGAAGCCACGGCUAACUACGUGCCAGCAGCCGCCGUAA